UAGUGAUAGGUAAGUAAUUCACUUGAACACGAACUCCGGAGGCAUGGAGUUGAAGAUGGGCCAGUGAUUAAGAAAGAAUGAAUGGGGAAUAGCGUGAUGGCCACAGGCGAGCCGACGGGUCCUGCUUCGGAAAUGAUGGUGGAAUUUGAUUGAUUAGGCUUUGCCUCUGCCCCGUGUUUGACAAGAGUUUCCCAAGGUUUCAGUGGAGGGUCCAUCUCAAAUUGAUCACAACGCGCUAGGAAUUGACUAGUUAGAUCUCUGGUUGCACUGAUGUGUAUGACUGUGGGUUCUAGAUGCGAUCUUUUGCAAUUAAUAAGGGAAUUUUCUUUGGGUUGUUCUGUCAAAAAGGUAAAUACCGCAAGGGCAAAAGAGGAUGCUUUCUUCAGACGACAUGAUGCUCCAGAAUGAAUGCAGAGUGCCGACGAAAGCUGAAUAAGAGCGUGAGAAUAGCCAGGCCACGUGGACAACUCACAGAGAAGUAAUGUCAAAGUCUGGAGAAUAAUUACACUUCCAUAUCAAAGUGGCAGUGCAUCGGCUUAUCAUUACGUCGGUGAUGUUUAACAGGACUUCUUUCACACAUCCUUCGGGCCCAUGCCCCCUAUCACAUCUGAGACGAACAUGUGGACAUUAUUCUUCUUUUUUUUUUCCCGGCCUUUAAUUUGUUGCGAAAUUUGCACCCAGAACAACAUUUAAAAAAAAGUUAAGAACCCACAAUCAACCAGACUGUGAGAAGAAUGAGUGGGUUCAGCAGCUAUGAACUACUUUAUUUACGGCUUCCUCUAAGCUGCCCUUGCUCUAGUUUUCCCCUGUUUGUAAGUUCUUAAUCGUUUGGUUGCUCUGAAAAACCAUUGGAAAUGAUAUUUUUUUGCUCAGUUCAAGUUAAUUACAAAGGAAUAUAAUGGAGGAAUACUUUGGUAAAAGACAUCAUGUAAUUGUGGGGGAUAUCAUUCUUGCUUGUGGAUCAAUUUACGCAGGAAUUUAUAACCUUUUCGAAUUACUGAACUUUUUCAACGCUUCAUCGCCUAACUUGUAAACUUUUAUCUAGUCAAACUACCAGCCUUUUUACAUUUCAACACGUUUGUUUUCUUUUUCCACGAAAACUUGCUAACUUGUCAUCAAUUGAUAUUAAUAUGUGAACAAACAAAUACGUAGGAUAUGAUUGCAGUUGGUUAAUUUAUGCUUCUUGAGUUUGAUUUUGUAGCUCAUUUGUCAUGAUCCAACAGGGAAUGAAGGAAAUAGAAUACCUUUUUCGGCGGCAAAAGAAAAUUAAAUACUCUUUUGCUUAGACUUGGCCUCUCCUUUCCAAAACUUGUAGAUUCCUCUCUCUGUUUUUUCCCCAAAGGGUUCGGACACAUAUUCUCCCUUUUGAUCUAGAGCCUUCUUAAAUUGUUCGGCCAAUUUAGGUGUGGGUGCAGAGAUAUCAUGAGGCCAGAACCAGUGAUUAAAUCGGCUUUACUUGUGGUCUUGCCGGGAUUUCUGCUCAGGCGUGGCCAUUGAUGCUAUUGUAGGAGAUGCUGAUGUUAGGUAUCUCUCUCUCUACACUUAUGAUUUUCUUCUUAUACGCAUUGUUAUAGUUACAAAGUUGUGUCUAUCCAGUUGAUUGAAGUUGAUGCAAAUUUAGAUUCUAGGCAGACUGACAUCAGUGCAAUUUUAAGUAUGAAUAUAAUAAAAACGAAUUUAAUCUGAAUGCAACUUUCCACGAUGCUACAUGUUUCUCCGAGUACGAUGUAAAUGAGAAUGAAGUCAUUCAAAGGAGUGGGAGAGCUAUAGUGGUUGGUCAGGUUUGGCUUUCUAAUGCCACGAGAAAGCGGUUCCUGACUUUUCUUACGUAGAUUAACUGUUUAUGCCAAAUUUCCUAUUGUAUUUAGUGUAAUCAGCAGUUGCCUUUGCCAAUUGGUCAUGCGAUCGUAUUGUGGUAACCUACGAGUACUUGCACGAAUUUGCUAGUGUAUACGGACUUAACCAAGUUGGAUAUUUGUCUGCGGCUUCAAUACGCUUGAAGUUUCGAGGUGAUUUCUUACGCAGAUUUACUAUUGUAUUUAGUUGUUUUGAUUGGUUGAGUUGAAACUUGAAAGUUCUUGAGUGUUAGCUUGGGCAAUACUUUUGGGCAGAGGAAGCUGAUGAUCAAUAGUAUAACAGGGCUGAAGGAAUGUGUGCGUCUAUAUAUACUUCCUUAGCAUACAUCAUGAGAAUUUUAUUCGAUUAAGUUUCCAAAAAAACGACGGGUCGUAGAGCC